rnacentral:rRNA from 1 species
UACGGAGGGUGCAAGCGUUAUCCGGAAUCAUUGGGUUUAAAGGGUCCGUAGGCGGAUGAUUAAGUCAGUGGUGAAAGCCCACAGCUCAACUGUGGAAAUGCCAUUGAUACUGAUCAUCUUGAGUACGAUUGAAGUUGGCGGAAUAGAUCAUGUAGCGGUGAAAUGCUUAGAUAUGAUCUAGAACACCGAUUGCGAAGGCAGCCAACUAAGCCGUAACUGACGCUGAGGGACGAAAGCGUGGGGAGCGAACAGG